UACAGAGGUCCCAAGCGUUGUUCGGAUUCAUUGGGCGUAAAGGGUGCGUAGGUGGCAUGGUUAGUCGGGUGUGAAAUCCCGGGGCUCAACCCCGGAACUGCACUCGAUACUGCCGUGCUGGAGUACUGGAGAGGAGACUGGAAUUUACGGUGUAGCAGUGAAAUGCGUAGAUAUCGUAAGGAAGACCGGUGGCGAAGGCAGCCCCCUGGGCCAAUACUGACGCUCAUGCACGAAAGCGUGGGGAGCAAACAGG
rnacentral:rRNA from 1 species